UACAGAGGGGGCAAGCGUUGUUCGGAAUUACUGGGCGUAAAGGGCGCGUAGGCGGCCUUCUAAGUCGAACGUGAAAUCCCCGGGCUCAACCCGGGAACUGCGUCCGAUACUGGAGGGCUCGAAUCCGGGAGAGGGAUGUGGAAUUCCAGGUGUAGCGGUGAAAUGCGUAGAUAUCUGGAGGAACACCGGUGGCGAAAGCGACUUCCUGGACCAGUACCGACGUUCAGGCACGAAAGCGUGGGGAGCAAACAGG
rnacentral:rRNA from 1 species